GAUUUUCUCCUUCGUCUUCUCCGUCUCCUCUUCUUCCAAACUCCACUGCUCACCCUCGACUGCUAUCAAUCAAUCUUCUUCAAUACCCCCUUAAUGAAUUUGUUUCAUCUCCCUCUCUUUCCCCUUCUUUAUAAACCAUUUCGUCUUCAAUUGCUUCCAUUCAAUCUCGAAAUCUUCCUACUCUCAAAAAAGUUGCAGAUAUGGCUAUGAAACCAAACGGCAAGUCUAUUGUCUCCGCCGGAAAGUCCCCAGUUGCCAUGUACUUUAAAGGUGACCUUUAUGUUUUGGGUAGUGGACGUUACUUGGUGUACCUCGGAUUCAAACCUGAUGUCAUCGAGGUUGAACGUAAGGACUUGCGUCCACAUAUGGUUUGGAAAGAUGAAGAGUGGUUUCGUUGCCAAAAACGAAUGUACUUUUGUCGGGUACUGACACUAGGCAGGCACAUGAAGAGUUGAAUAACAGAGAGAGAAUGCACAAGAUGAAAAGAGGACAACCACCACCUAAGUUGAGAAGCACAGAGCCUAAGCAGAAGACUUGGGAAUAUGCUUCUCGGACACCUGAACCAAUGCCUAACUCUGUUGUGGAAACUCCUAAACCGAAAGAAACAAGAAUGGUUCAGCCAUUUGUAAAGAAUUCACCGUGUUGGAGAGUCUUUGAAUCAAUGGAGAUCUUCAAAGCUGUGCCACAACGUCCGCAUUUUUCAGUACACUGCUAAAGUGCGAGGAAGCGUUCCGUGAAGGAGAAGCCAUUGGUGCAAUGGUGAACUACAUUGGGCUGCUAGAGAAAGUCAGGGAUAUACGAGUCCAUGAUUCAGUAAGCAUGAUAAACAGGAUCAAAGAGUGCUUUCUCAAGCUGGAGAAACACGGGUUUGAUAUUGCAGCGCCUCGAUCUACGAUUAACAAGCUAUUGUCCAUCAAAGAAAGGCAGACACGGGCAUUGGAAGAGUUGAAAGUUGCUGCAGAGAAAGACAAUAAAAGAAGGAAGCCUCAAAGAAGACGAUGUCGAACAAGCCGCAAAGAAGAUUCUUGAGUUGCAGAGACAAGAAGCAUUGAUGAAGGAAGAGAAAGUGACAAAAGAAUAGGAGAUAGCUCGGAUGAAGUAUAACGCAGUGGCUCUCGACCGAAUGGUUCAGUGGGUGGAGCAGGAGUUUCGUGCAACUGUGAAAGCCCCAUGGUACUAAUAAAGUAGAUUAACAUACAGUAUGUCAAAAUCUACUUUUGUUGCAUGUGGACGUGUUGAGAGUUAUAUAAUAAUAAGAGCCUGAGUUUUUAAACUGAUGCCAAAUGUUAUUAGUUUUAUAAACAAUUUUUUGGAGAA